UCAGCACAUUGCUAGAGCAUGGUGUUGAGGCCGCUGGUGGUCCAUGGACUCACACACAAGUGGAGGUAGUGCGCUAAGCAAGGGGCAAGUUUUCCACGGACACCACGAGGAUCCCUGGCCCAGUGAGUGGAAUUUGGCAGCUCUCCUUGCUGUAAGG